AUUGAACGCUGGCGGCGUGCUUAACACAUGCAAGUCGAUCGGUAACGCGGGGGCAACCCUGGCGACGAGAGGCGGACGGGUGAGGAACGCUUGGGAAUCUGCCUAUCAGCGGGGGACAACACGGGGAAACUCGUGCUAAUACCGCAUACGCUCUACGGAGGAAAGCCGGGGACCGCAAGGCCUGGCACUGAUAGAUGAGCCCAAGCCGGAUUAGCUAGUUGGCGGGGUAACGGCCCACCAAGGCGACGAUCCGUAGCUGGUCUUAGAGGAUGAUCAGUCACACUGGAACGGAGACACGGUCCAGACUCCUACGGGAGGCAGCAGUAGGGAAUAUUGCACAAUGGGGGAAACCCUGAUGCAGCAACGCCGCGUGAGUGAAGAAGGCCCUUGGGUUGUAAAGCUCUUUAGCCUGGAAAAAAGUGCCCGUAAGUAAAUAAUUUGCGGGUGUGACGGUACCAGGAGGAUAAGGACCGGCUAAUUUCGUGCCAGCCGCCGCAGUAAGAC
rnacentral:rRNA from 1 species